CAGACAGAAGCCCGCUGGGUUGGGUGUUUAGCUGUUAAUUAAUUCUUUGUGGGAUCGAGGCCCACCUGUCUAG
rnacentral:tRNA from 1 species